rnacentral:rRNA from 1 species
UCAGGACGAACGGCUGGCGGCGUGCCUAACACAUGCAAGUCGAGCGGGGACAUUGCGACAGAUUGAAGUUUCGGAUGGAUAUGAAGAUGUAAUGUCUAGCGGCGGACGGGUGAGUAACGCGUGAGCAACCUGUCCCUUACAGGGGGAUAACACAGCGAAAGUUGUACUAAUACCGCAUAAGACCACAGAGUCACAUGGCUCAGGGGUCAAAGGAGCAAUCCGGUAAGGGGUGGGCUCGCGUCCGAUUAGAUAGUUGGUGAGUAACGGCCCACCAAGUCGACGAUCGGUAGCCGACCUGAGAGGGUGAUCGGCCACAUUGGGACUGAGACACGGCCCAAACUCCUACGGGAGGCAGCAGUGGGGAAUAUUGGGCAAUGGGGGGAAACCCUGACCCAGCAACGCCGCGUGAGGGAAGAAGGUUUUCGGAUCGUAAACCUCUGUCCUUGGUGAAGAGGAAGAGACGGUAGCCAAGGAGGAAGCCCCGGCUAACUACGUGCCAGCCGCGGC